CAGUGGCUCACACCUGUAAUCUCAGCACUUUGAGAGGCUGAGGCGGGUGGAUCACGAGGUCAAGAGAUCGAGACCAUCCUGGCCAACAUGGUGAAACCUCAUCUCUACUAAAACUAUAAAAAUUAGCUGGGCAUGAUGGCACAUGCCUUUAGUCCCAACUACUUGGGAGGCUAAGGCAGGAAGAUUGCUUGAACCCCGGCAGCGGCAGAGAUUGCAGUGAGCCGAGAUGGCUCCACUGCAGCCUGGCUACAGAGCAAGAUUCAGUCUAAAAAAAAAAAAAUAAGUCAAAAGGUGAAACUGCACACUUGUCUUUUAAGUCGCCAGCUUGACUCUCUUCCAAGUGUACUUUACUUCCUUUCAUUUUUGCCCUAAGCAUUUCAACAAACCUUCACUCCUGCUCUAAAACUUGCCUUGGUCUCUUCUUCUGCCUUAUGCCCUUCAGUUGAAUUCUUUCUUCUGAGGCGGCAAGAGUUGAUUUUGCUGAUGUAUUUUGGUGCCCUGCGACUCGGAUAACUUUCACCGCUAACAUGUUGGCACUGCAUGACUAGGAUACGUGCCCUAGAGUUUGGCUCCCACAGUUAAUAUUCAGCAAAGAGGGUCAUGAGGGCCACGCAGAGAAAGAAAACCCAGAAACCUGGCAUGCCAGACAAAAGGGGACAUGGAUGAAUCUGGAAAACAUCAUCCUCAGCAAACUGACACAAGAACAGAAGAUGAAACACCGCAUAUUCUCACUCAUAGGAUUCCAAGCAAGGAGGGCCAAGCAGCUAUUGCUCCAAUCUGGACUUCUAGUGAGAAAAGGCAAGAGAAAUUCUAUGAUGUAAUGACACAAGAUCUGCCAUAUUUUCAAUAUUCAUUUUUCAAUAAUCAAUGUAGGGUAAUUAUCUGUCCCUAAAUAGAAAGAAGACAGAAUUAAAGAAUUACUUCUUUAAACUGGUCUACUAUUGCCAAAAAGUAGAAAAUGGAUUAGGUAGGUAUUCUAAGUAGAUGACAAUUUCUAUGAUUUUAUGGAACAGCAAAGUCUGACAGAAAAAGAAUUAGUCUUAAUUUUGUGAACUACAGAAAUUGCUUUCUUUGAUUUUAAUUUUAAUUUUUAAUUUCAGUAGGUUUUAAGGAAAAAGGUGGUAUUUGGUUACAUGGACAAGUUCUUUAUUGGUGAUUUCUGAAAUCUCGGUGCACAUAUCACCCCAGCAGAAACCCAAUGUGUACAGGGUUAUUUUAUUCCUCACCCACAUCCCACCCUUUCCAGAGUCCCAAAAGUCCAUGAUAUCAUUUUUGUACCUUUGCAUCUUCAUAGCUUAGCUCCCUCUUAUGAGUGAGAACAUACAAUGUUUAGUUUUCAAUUCCUGAGUUAAUUUAUUUGGAGCAAUGCUCCAAUUCCAUUUAGGUUGCUGUAAAUACCAUUAUUUUUUCCUUUUUCUUGGGUGAGUAAUAUUUCAUGGUAUAUAUAUCUAUGUGUGUAUAUAUGUGUGUGUGUGUAUGUGUGUGUGUAUAUAUAUAUAUGUAUAUAUACAUAUAUAUAUAUAUAUUAGAGCUGGUUUCAUAUUUUUAGCAUUGUAAAUUGUGUUGCUAUAAACAUGUGUGUGCAAGUAUCUUUUCUGUAUAAUAACUUCUUUACCUCUGGGUGACACCUAGUAGUGGGAUUGCUAGAUCAAAUGGUAGAUCUACUUUAAGUUCUUUAAGAAAUCUCCAUACUGUUUCCCAUAGUGAUUGUAGUAGUUUACAUUCCCACCAACCAUGUAAAAGUGUUCUUUUUUCACCACAUCCAAACCAAUGUCUAUUUUUUUUAUUAUGUCCAUCCUUACAGGAGUAAGGUUAUAUUGCAUUGUGGUUUUCAUUUGCAUUUCCCUGAUGUUGACUUUUUUUUAUAUGUUUUUUGGGAAUUUGUGUAUCUUCUCUUGAGAAAUGUUUGUUUAU
ensembl:lncRNA